rnacentral:snRNA from 1 species
CUGCCUUUGUGGCAGGUGCAGGAAAAUUGGACUGACACAGAGGUUAGCAUGCCUUUGUACAGAGACAAUGUGAAAAUUUGUGGUUUUCCUUAUAUUU